ACAAACUAUAGUCUGAAGAUGGGCUCAGAAACAAACCCAAAACCUUUCAUUAAACCAUUCUACUCAGAAUCCAGGUCGACAGCAGGUUGUAAGUUCUCAUCUCAUGUGUGAAGAACUUGGACACGUUCAUACAAAUCGUAGUCCUCGUUCAGUUUUUUCCCCUCCAACAGCUCUAAGGGACGUUGAACCGAGCUGUUGGUUGAAGAGUUCUCCUUUAGAACAGGCUUCGUGAAUGUGUAGAUUUUUGUACUAAUGGAGACGUUGCUUAGGCCUUAAGAUUGUAGAGUAUAAGAGGAAUGUACCUGGUCUUCAGUGACGGCCCCAAGUGUCUGAACAGUCCCUUCAAAAGUCAGUCCAGGUAAGAUAGACGCUCCGUCUAACAUGUCCUUGAUAAUUAGUUGGUUAGACUAAUCAGUGGAGUAUAAGGAAUGUUAUGUCUGUAUUAACAGAAGACUAAAUUGACUCCACAUUCUAUUGCAAUUAACCUGGAAACUCACUACAAAAAUAUCCUGAGGUUUUUUUUUUUUUUUACCAAGCUAAGAUUAGUUUUAAUUUCCCCAAAAACUCAACCUUUUACAUUGAAUCCCUUCCAAAGUCACUUUUCCAUAAAUAAUCUUAACAUUGACAUCGACCUAAAAAAGAUCGUAAGAAUUAACAUUAUUAAACCUAACAAACUAACUCCUGAGACAAUUGGUUGAUUUCCACAGAGUCACAACUGAGGGAAUACGUGACGUUUAAAUAUGGACCUUUAUUGAAAUAUUUCAGUUAUGAACAAAUAACAAUAAACAUCGAAACAUAGUAACAUUAUUGUUUUAGUAACUUUAUAUUUUAUUCCACAUAAUAUAUAUACACACACAACGACCACCUCCAACAUUGUCUGUACAUUGCUACUUUGUACAACAUUGCUAGUAAUCUGUAGGUCUUUUAUAAUAUCUGGAAAUGACCGGCGAAGCUUCCCAGUCAUGUGUUUUUCGCAAAAGUAUUUUUCUGAACUUGGGUGACAAACUUGUUGUGUUUUUUUGUGAGGGAAAAUGAAAAGCAACAGAAUAUAUACACUCAUAUAUCACUCAAAAAAAAAAAAGUAAAAUCCAUGUAUAUGAGCAAUAUACAGAAACCCCAAAAACCCUUACUUGCUUAUGAAGGUCUUUGGAGAAAGGAUGUAUUAUUCCACCAGUUCACUGCUCACCCUAGUGGUUUAUUUUUAUUUAGCAGAUGAACUGAAAUUCACUUACCUCAACUAUGCUGCCUCUGUCAGCUGCUCUGGGCUUUGCCCUGACUGGAUCAAAGUUUCUGAUGAUUGUGUUUGUUUGUUUGUUUGUUUGUUUUUUAAACUGAAUUGUAUUAUUGUGCUGAUGUACAAUAUGUUAUACUGAUCUUUGGACCUCCAUAUGGCCAUUCAAUCCAAGCAGGGCAUGUGAAAGUGCAGAAAUAUUACCUCUUUAUGCUCUUUAUGGAGUUUUUGUGUGUCUUUUGCUUUCUGUACUAUGGUCAGAGGAAGUCAGUGUUCUUUUCUGAGCUCCUUUUUUUUCUGAAGUACAUCUAGAGCUAAGCACUGAUUGCUCUUGGAUGGGGAAUAUAUUGUCACAUGUGCAUAUAAGUCAUUAUUUUAGGCACCUCCAUAAGUGUACUGCCUUUCUAAAUCUCUGUGAAUCUUGGAUUGGAUUUCAAAAAUAUGUCUUAAAUGUUUUACUUGAUUGAAAAAAAAUUGAGCAUAUUUUAUUGGCAUUAAAGUAUGUAUUUCUUACUAGACAUGUGUGGAAGUUAUUAUUUUUACUGUAAUGAGAAUUAAUUGCAAACAGUUGAGCUUAAAAGAUAGGCCCAUGAAUUUUACUUUGUCAAAAGAGGUCAAUUAUGAAUACAAUUAUGACACAAAAAGUAAAUGAUACUAUGGGGUCCUAAGAAAAAGAAAAACUCUAAUGAGGGAUUUGGUUUUUCUAAAUAUGAAAUAUUUUCUAAAUAGGAAAUAUAUAUUUGUAUAUUGGGUUGUCAAACAUUGGAAAACAAUAUGUCUAACUAUACUAUAAUAUGACAAAAUGCAAAAUGCAAAAAAAUAAAAAACUCAAAAGGAGGAAAAAGGAGUAAAUUGCAUGAAAAUUAAAAAUCUCUACACAGUGGAUGGAUGUGAUUGAAGAUCUAAAAUGUUAUUUAAAAACAUAUCAAAUGUUUUCUAUUUAUUUCUGUUUUUUAUUUAUUUGUGCACUCAGAUCUACAAAUUCCUUCACAUUAAUAAAAUGUACGUAAUUUUUAUUUCUCCCUGGUUUGCGCAUGCCUAGCAAGAGCUUUUAAAUUAUACCGGAAAGGCCCGCUCUUGUUUUUCAAACAAACAUUUGGUCGUCGUCGAGUGUGUGUGAAUGUUACGAGGGUAAAGAUAACCUCACACAAACAAACGUUGUACGGUUAUUUCUCUCUUCUUGCUCUUAAUUUCAUUUGUUCAAAUGUACUUUUCGUUCGGCUUAAAUGUCAUUUCUUCUGAGUUGACUGUUCUGAUAGCACAACAUCAUUGUCUAUUUUAUUUCUUUUCGCACACAUCUACAAGUUCUUUCUGCAUUAAUGGUAAAAUCUAUACUACGGGACCUUUAAAUUGACGUCAUUUCCUCUCAGUAGUUUGCCCAUGCGUAACAAGAGACGACAUUUAAAUUAAACCGGAAAUAUUGCUCUCGUUUAUCAAGACAAGCUUAAAGCUCAACGUUCUCCAUGGCAUAUGGAUAGAAUUGAGGAAUAUUGCAGCACGCGACUGCCAUCUUCUGGACGUAUUGUGGAAUUACACACGGGGUUACCCCAAAGACCUUCAAUUAUUUCCAAUGAUUGGCAACUGAAUUUUUAAAAAGGUGUGUUUACACAUAAAAAAAUACUUUAGUUUACUGUAGUGUCUUCCCAUUUUUCCAGUGACUGAAAAUGACGUUUUAGACUGUAAUGACGCCACCGUCAGUCAGGCUGAGUUCUGCUGAUCAUCAACUUUCAGCAGUAGAGACAAAAAUAGCAACACAUCACGAAGUUUCGUGUCUACGUCACAGCGGGUGAACGUCUUUGCUGUGAAAUGGGCAGAACCGUGAAGUCUGGACAGAAAACGUACGUCACACACACCCACACACACACACUUCAGUCUGCAUGUUGUCACAUCCUGGAUACCCUAAGAAGAACCAGAGAGGAGAGAGUCCUCCUUCAGUGCUGACCUCCCCAAAGACAAGUUGUGUCCAGCUGAUAAGAGACCACUGGUGGAGAGCUCACCAUUUCCACUUCUUAUCUUUGAAGACAUUUAAAGGUGUCAACAUGAACAACCUGCUACUCCUGGGUCUCCUACAGCUGCUGGCUGUACCUGCCCUCUCUCUGACUCUGCCGACCCAGGACUACUGGGGACCGUUUGGAGCCUAUGGGCCCUGCAGUCGAACCUGUGGCACAGGUGUGGCCAUGAGGACCAGGCAGUGCAUCACUGCGAGAACCGACGGUGGACAUAACUGUGAAGGAUCUUCCACAGCUUUCCGAAUCUGUAACACACAGGACUGUCCAUAUGGAUCCAGGGACUUCAGGGAGGAGCAGUGUUCCCAGUUUGACAGAUCAGACUUUCAGGGGAAACGUUACACAUGGGUCCCUUACUAUGGAGCAUCCAAUCCAUGUGAGCUGAACUGCGUCCCAAGAGGAGAGAACUUCUACUAUCGACACAACUCUGCAGUGGUGGAUGGGACGCCGUGCUACGUUGGACGCACUGACGUCUGCGUGGAGGGCAAAUGCAGGAACCUGAGCCAUGACGAGUUCCUGGGCCUGGAUGAAGACGUGAACUCUGUGCACUCCUCUGUGCCUGUGGCCCCUCACCCCAGUGAGACCAACUCGUACGUCUACAGGACCGGUGUCUUUGGUGAAUGCUCAGCCAACUGCAGUGGUGGUAUGCAGUACCGCAGCGUGGAGUGCGUGCUCCAGGAUCCAGUCAACCCCCGUGUGGUGGAAGAGUCUUACUGCAUCGCCCAACGCCUGCAGAGGCCUCAGAGUCAGCAGACCUGCAACAUGCAUCACUGUACAGCUGAGUACAGUGUCUCCAGCUACAGCGUGUGCUCCGUCACCUGUGGUGAAGGUGAGCAGACCAGGGAUGUGAUCUGUGUAGGUCCAGGAGGAGAACAUCUGGAUGACCAGGCCUGCAGCGAACUAGUCCGACCUCCUGCUGUCCGCUCAUGUCGCAGACCUGCCUGUCAGUUACACAUCACCUGGCAUGUGACUGACUAUGGAUUAUGCAGUGAAAGCUGUGGUGGUGGAGUGAGGGAGAGGAUGGUGGUCUGCUUUGAUUUGGAUUACAACACCUAUCCUGAGGAUCACUGUGGACUGGAGAGCAAACCCGCUGCUAUGGAGGCAUGCAACUACCAGCCAUGUCCAGAAGAACAGAUGGUCCCAAGUGUACAGGAUCCAGGGUAUCACGGAAGCACCAUCAGAGGGUAUGUGCCCCACGUUCCAGAAGUUCCUUCAGUUUCUGGGCCAGAGACCAGCUCUGCCUAUGAUCACUACCCUCCUGUGAUUGGACCUUAUUGUGCCCAAUCCUAUUAUGGCUGCUGUCCUGAUGGUCAUACCUCUGCAACCGGACACAACAACGAGGGCUGCUCUGAAGAUGACUGUGUCCAAACCAGGUAUGGUUGUUGUUUGGAUGGUGUGACUCCAGCUCAAGGAUUUGUCAGAGCAGGAUGCCCUGAGACAGAGACGGCCGUGGAAGAGCCACAGCCCCCUGUCACCUCAUCUGAUGAUGGUGUAUGCACCCUGCCACAUGAUGAGGGGCCCUGUGAGGACUGGACUCUCCGAUUCUAUUACGACUCGGGAACUAGCAAAUGUACUGAGUUCUGGUAUGGAAGCUGCUGGGGUAAUGCCAAUAAUUUUGCAUCCGUGGCUGCAUGUCAGGAAAGGUGUAGCCAUUUGGUGAGGGAACAAGCGCCACCAGCACCACCAGCACCACCAGCCCAACCUCUAAGAUCAUGGCCGAGGAGAGUAGCAGGUGUUCUAAGAACGUAGGCAUAACCACCAAGAACACCUCCGAGAACACACGUCUCUUCUCUUUAUGAUGCCAAUAAAACGUUUACAUGGUCAGGUUUGUUUAAAUUAUAUUGAUGUCUGAAGUUACAGUGUAAUUUCAUAAACCAGUGCAGGUCAUCUGAUUGUUAUGGAGGAAUUCAUGCAAAGGCUAUGGAGGCUCUGUCCACUUUGUACCUGCCAUUAGACAACCCAUGACGCUGUAUUACAAAGGUUCAUCCAUCUCAAUUAAACAUCAUAAUUAAAAAAAAGGUAGAAUCAAGUUCUUACUAAUGUAGUAUUUUUCUUUUUUUUUAAAUAAAUUUAGAUAUACAUAAAUUUCACCUUUUGUAAUUGAAAUUUAAUUAACCAUGUGUAUAACUUCAUUAGUUGUGGUCUAUACUAACAUUAAUAAACAAAGUUAACAAUUCAG